UACGUAGGGCGCAAGCGUUAUCCGGAAUUAUUGGGCGUAAAGAGCUCGUAGGCGGUUUGUCGCGUCUGCCGUGAAAGUCCGGGGCUCAACUCCGGAUCUGCGGUGGGUACGGGCAGACUAGAGUGAUGUAGGGGAGACUGGAAUUCCAGGUGUAGCGGUGAAAUGCGCAGAUAUCAGGAGGAACACCGGUGGCGAAGGCGGAUCUCUGGGCCAUUACUGACGCUGAGGAGCGAAAGCGUGGGGAGCGAACAGG
rnacentral:rRNA from 1 species